ensembl:lncRNA PRKCA-AS1 PRKCA antisense RNA 1
CCAGAUCAGAGGAAGAGGAAGGGUGGUGUAUCUUCAUGAAACUACUAACCCAAACCCAGAACACAGCCAUCUCGCUACUAAAGCACCCAGGAAUUGUAGUUUUCUGUGCAACAGAGAUUGGGGAGCUAAGGCUGAGGAUUCAGGGUGAAUAACAAGUCUGGUGCUUGUCUGCAGAACAGCCAGCUGACUUUUGAAGUUGAUUCCUCCAACAUGAUGAAGCGUAUGUAGCUCAGGAAAAACGGCAGCUGGCCUUAAAUCAUAUAGCAUAAGCAAAGGGCUCUUCCCUGGACUAUGUCUCAUUUACUAUUUGAAUAAACAAAAUUCAACAACCUGAACAAUAAAUAAAAUAAAAAGGGAAUCUGCUGGAUCCACUGAAAAGUAAUGCUUACUUAUUCAAAUUUAUUAUGCCCCAUUUCCCCAUGCAUUACAUUUAAACCUCUGAUUUUUUAAAAGAAUAACAUCAUUAUUGAAAACUAAUGUUAUGCUUCAAAGCUCUAUUACUUGAACUGUUCAUAAAUGGAUUUAUGGCUACUGCUGAGUUCUGUGAAAGACUGUAUUGUAUGCCUUCUCCUUCAGUUUCACCAAGACUAUUAAUAAAGAUAUCCCUACAUCAACA